ACGGCGAGUGAAGCGGCAAAAGCUCAAAUUUGAAAUCGGCCACCAGGUCGAGUUGUAAUUUGUAGAUUGUAUCUUGAGAGCGGAUUAAAGUCUGUUGGAACACAGCGCCUUAGAGGGUGACAGCCCCGUAAAAUCUAUUCUCAUUGUAAGAUACUUUCGAAGAGUCGAGUUGUUUGGGAAUGCAGCUCUAAGUGGGAGGUAAAUUCCUUCUAAAGCUAAAUAUUGACGAGAGACCGAUAGCGAACAAGUACUGUGAAGGAAAGAUGAAAAGCACUUUGAAAAGAGAGUGAAAAAGUACGUGAAAUUGUUAAAAGGGAAGGGUAUUGAAUCAGACUUGGUGCUGUUGUUCAACUGUGUUUCGGCAUAGUGUACUCAGCAGUACUAGGCCAAGGUGGGGUGUUUGGGAGUGAAAAAGAAGUUGGAAGGUAACUCUUCGGAGUGUUAUAGCCUACUUUCAUAGCUCCUCAGGCGCCUCAGGACUGCGCU
rnacentral:rRNA from 1 species